UACGGAGGGGGCUAGCGUUGUUCGGAAUUACUGGGCGUAAAGCGCACGUAGGCGGAUCGUUAAGUCAGGGGUGAAAUCCUGGAGCUCAACUCCAGAACUGCCUUUGAUACUGGCGAUCUUGAGUUCGGGAGAGGUGAGUGGAACUGCGAGUGUAGAGGUGAAAUGCGUAGAUAUCUGGAGGAACACCGGUGGCGAAGGCGGCAUCCUGGACCGGUAUUGACACUGAGGAGCGAAAGCCAGGGGAGCAAACGGG
rnacentral:rRNA from 1 species